GGCUGGUCCAAAGGUAGUGAGUUAUCUCAACUGAUUGUUCACAGUCAGUUACAGAUCCAACUCCUUGUUCUACUCUUUCCCCGCUUCUCACUACUGCACUUGACUAGUCUUAA
ensembl:Y_RNA Y_RNA Y RNA